AUACGUAGGGGGCGAGCGUUGUCCGGAAUGACUGGGCGUAAAGGGCGUGUAGGCGGCGAACUAAGUUUGGAGUGAAAGUCCUGCUUUCAAGGUGGGAAUUGCUUUGGAAACUGGUUUGCUUGAGUGCGGAAGAGGUAAGUGGAAUUCCCAGUGUAGCGGUGAAAUGCGUAGAGAUUGGGAGGAACGCCAGUGGCGAAGGCGACUUACUGGGCCGUAACUGACGCUGAGGCGCGAAAGCGUGGGGAGCGAACAGGAUUAGAUACCCUGGUAGUCCACGCGGUAAACGAUGAAUGCUAGGUGUAGGGGGUAUCGACCCCUCCUGUGCCGGAGUAAACACAAUAAGCAUUCCGCCUGGGGAGUACGGCCGCAAGGUUGAA
rnacentral:rRNA from 1 species